rnacentral:SRP_RNA from 1 species
GCCAGGUGUGGUGGCCUGCACCUGUAGUCCCAGCUACUUGGGAGGCUGAGACGGGAGGAUGGCUUGAGCCCAGGAGGUGGAGGUUGCAGUGAGCCAAGGUCAUGCCACUGCACUUCCAGCCUGGGCAACAAAGCCAGACUCCGUCUCAA